AGAGUUUGAUCCUGGCUCAGGAUGAACGCUAGCGGCAGGCUUAAUACAUGCAAGUCGAGGAGCAGCAUGACUGUAGCAAUACAGUUGAUGGCGACCGGCAAACGGGUGCGGAACACGUACACAACCUUCCUUUAAGCGGGGAAUAGCCCGGGGAAACCCGGAUUAAUACCCCAUAGUAUAUUGAUGAGGCAUCUUAUUAAUAUUAAAGAUUUAUUACUUGAAGAUGGGUGUGCGGCUGAUUAGCUAGUUGGCGGGGUAACGGCCCACCAAGGCAACGAUCAGUAACUGGUGUGAGAGCACGACCAGUCACACGGGCACUGAGACACGGGCCCGACUCCUACGGGAGGCAGCAGUAAGGAAUAUUGGUCAAUGGACGAAAGUCUGAACCAGCCAUGCCGCGUGGAGGAUGAAGGCCCUCUGGGUUGUAAACUUCUUUUAUAUGGGACGAAAAAAGGCUUUUCUAAGUCGUCUGACGGUACCAUUUGAAUAAGCACCGGCUAACUCCGUGCCAGCAGCGGCGGUAAUAC
rnacentral:rRNA from 1 species